CCCGCUGAACUUAAGCAUAUCAAUAAGCGGAGGAAAAGAAACUAACAAGGAUUCCCCUAGUAACUGCGAGUGAAGCGGGAAGAGCUCAAAUUUAAAAUCUGGCAGCUCCCUGAGCUGUCCGAGUUGUAAUCUAGAGAAGUGCUUUCCGUGCUGGACCGUGUACAAGUCUCUUGGAAUGGAGCGUCAUAGAGGGUGAGAAUCCCGUCUUUGACACGGACUACCAGUGCUUUUGUGAUGCACUCUCGAAGAGUCGAGUUGUUUGGGAAUGCAGCUCAAAAUGGGUGGUAAAUUCCAUCUAAAGCUAAAUAUAGGCGAGAGACCGAUAGCGAACAAGUACCGUGAGGGAAAGAUGAAAAGAACUUUGAAAAGAGAGUUAAACAGUACGUGAAAUUGUUGAAAGGGAAGGGCUUGAAAUCAGACUUGGUAUUCAAUGAUCAAUUUUCUUUCGGGGAGAUGCACUCGUUGUUUACUGGGCCAACAUCGAUUUAGACGGUGAGAUAAUGACAGUUGAAUGUGGCUUGCUUCGGUAAGUGUUAUAGCUUCUGUUGAUAUCAUCAGUUUAGAUCGAGGACUGCGCAUUUUUGCUAGGAUGUUGGCGUAAUGAUUUUAAGCCACCCGUCUUGAAACACGG
rnacentral:rRNA from 1 species